UUCACAGGGAGAUCAAGUAUUUUGCCCAAGAGCACACAGCUAGAGAGUGGAGAAGUCCGGAUUCAACCCAGACAGAUUGACUCCAGAGCGUGUGCUAUUCGUGGCUAUGCCAGAAUGCCCUGAUGGCCUCAGGUUUGCCUUGCCAACUGACAAAGGCGACUGUUUCCUACCCAUUGGCUCAGGUUAGAGGUUACCAUGACUGUGGAGACAGUUUUCUCGUGCCAUUCUCUCCUUCCUUAGACCACAGGGAAUGAAGCUGCACACACUGUUUAAUACAGAAAGCCAACAUAGAGGGUAGGAACCGUAUUGGUUUUAUUCAUCAAUGUAAAUUCAGUACCAAGCCCAGUGCCUGGUACACAGUAAGCACUCACUGAAUAUUUAUGGAAGAAACAACAAAUGAAUUCACUGAUUUUUAUCUAUUAAUUAUAUGGAAGUGAAUUCAGACUUCUUCAGGGUUAUGCUUAGCUUUACUUUUGAGAUGUAAACUAAGAAAAACGAGAUUCCACUAAAACCUUGUCACAUAUAUAUAUUUGGAAAUCUGUGAAAUGGUCAACCCCAAACCAAAAUUUACAUAAGAUUAACUUAUUACUUUCAAAUUUACAACCGAUGGAUUGUGGUGUGUGUGUGUGUGUAUGCGUGUGUUCCAUUUGUAGCAUGUGUAGUUGCUUUAUCUAAUAUGUACAUUCUCUAAUUCACAGAUGGUUCCAGCUUCCUACCCUUCCAGUUAAAAUAAACAAAAACGAGGGUCUUGAGUGUCUAUGAUUUUCAUAAGAUCUAUGGCGUUUCUUCUGCAGAUGAUCAACAGUUGCCUGCCUUGGACUUUGGAGUUCCCAAGAACUAGAAAAUCCAGGUCAGGAACUGUAUCUUUGCUCAGCCACCUGCAAACAGACUUGAGAACAAUGUAAACCACCCUCUGCAGGAUAUUGAUUCUGAUG
rnacentral:lncRNA from 1 species